rnacentral:rRNA from 1 species
UACGUAGGGUGCAAGCGUUGUCCGGAAUUAUUGGGCGUAAAGAGCUCGUAGGCGGUCUGUCGCGUCUGCUGUGAAAACUCAGGGCUUAACCCUGAGCUUGCAGUGGGUACGGGCAGACUAGAGUGCGGUAGGGGAGACUGGAAUUCCUGGUGUAGCGGUGAAAUGCGCAGAUAUCAGGAGGAACACCGGUGGCGAAGGCGGCUUCCUGGACCGACACUGACGCUGAGGCGCGAAAGUGUGGGGAGCGAACCGG